rnacentral:rRNA from 1 species
CCUACGGGAGGCAGCAGUAGGGAAUAUUGCACAAUGGGGGAAACCCUGAAGCAGCAACGCCGCGUGGAGGAUGAAGGCUUUCGGAUCGUAAAGUUCUGUCGUUAGGGAAGAUAAUGACGGUAUUUAACGAGUAAGCACCGGCUAACUCCGUGCCAGCAGCCGCGGUAAUACGUAGGGGGCUAGCGUUACUCGGAAUUACUGGGCGUAAAGAGCGCGUAGGCGGGUUUCUAAGUCAGAUGUGAAAUCCUAUGGCUUAACCCUAAGUAUGCAUUUGAAACUGUUAUUCUUGAGUCUAGGAGAGGUGAGUGGAAUUCUUGGUGUAGGGGUGAAAUGCGUAGAUAUUAAGAGGAACA